UACAGAGGGUGCGAGCGUUGUUCGGAAUACUGGGCGUAAAGCGCGCGCAGGCGGCCUUUAAGUCUACCCGUGAAAUGCCGGAGCUCAACUCCGUGCACGCCGGGAUACUGGGAGGCUGGAGACAUGUAGAGGCAAGCGGAAUUCCGGGUGUAGCGGUGGAAUGCGUAGAUAUCCGGAAGAACACCUGAGGCGAAGGCGGCUUGCUGGGGCCGAUCCUGACGCUGAGACGCGAAGGCGUGGGGGAGCGAACGGGG
rnacentral:rRNA from 1 species